UACAGAGGGGGCAAGCGUUGUUCGGAAUUACUGGGCGUAAAGGGCGCGUAGGCGGCCUUCUAAGUCGAACGUGAAAUCCCCGGGCUCAACCCGGGAACUGCGUCCGAUACUGGAAGGCUUGAAUCCGGGAGAGGGAUGCGGAAUUCCAGGUGUAGCGGUGAAAUGCGUAGAUAUCUGGAGGAACACCGGUGGCGAAGGCGGCAUCCGUGGACCGGCAUUGACGCUGAGGCGCGAAAGCUA
rnacentral:rRNA from 1 species